UUCCGGUUGAUCCUGCCGGACCUGACUGCUAUCGGAUUGAUACUAAGCCAUGCGAGUCAUUGUAGCAAUACAAGGCAGACGGCUCAGUAACGCGUAGUCAUCCGAACCUAUGGACGGGAAUAACCUCGGGAAACUGAGAAUAAUGCCCGAUAGAACGCUAUACCUGGAAUGGUUUGUGUUCCAAAUGAUUUAUCGCCGUAGGAUGGGACUGCGGCCUAUCAGUUUGUUGGUGAGGUAAUGGCCCACCAAGACUAUUACAGGUACGGGCUCUGAGAGGAGUAGCCCGGAGAUGGGUACUGAGACACGGACCCAGGCCCUAUGGGGCGCAGCAGGCGAGAAAACUUUGCAAUGUGCGAAAG
rnacentral:rRNA from 1 species